ACAUAGAAUAUAGAAUGUUAGAGCUAGAAUUCUUCAAGCACAAAUGUUAGCUCAUAGAGUGUCAGAGCUAGAACACAGAAUAUUAGAACACAAAAAGAGCUGAACAGAGACUUAGAAUACAUAUGGUUAAGACUGAAAUAUGCUUUAGAAAUCCUGCAUUAGAACAUUGAAAGCAUACCUAGAGAUCAUCUACAGGGUAUCAACUCUUAUUUGAACAUUCCUGAGAAGGAAUAAUCCAGCCUCCACUUGAAGACUUUUUAUGUCUCAUGAGACAGCCCAUGAAAUUGUUGGACAUAUCUGAUCAUCAAAUAUAUUGAAAAGUUAAGGAUAUAUUUGAUACCAUUUGAAGAAAUCAUUGAAUAAAUCGUUGUCAGGAGAUCUGUAUUCCAGUUCUGGUGCUGCCAUUUUAGCCCUAUCAUGAUUAGCAAGUCACUUUUCAUCUCUAGGACAGGCAUGCUGUUUGCAAAGAAGGCAACUUAAGAAGGCUGGCCAUGUUGUUUAAAUGUACACUUCCUUAAAAGACUAUUU